ACGUUGGCAUGAUUACCAUCACUUUGCAUCUUGCACCUGCUUCUUUCUAGUACGCAGCCAGUUUUUCUGCCAACCAGUAAUAAAAUAUUAUGAUCUACCAAUCAAGUCUUACCAAUCCAUUUUGGUUGAGAUCUAAAAUGUUCGACCUUUACUGUUUUUAUGGCAUGGCAUACCAUUAAGGAAAAUAAAAUUUACACCUAGGAUUGCUUGCUUGUUAAAAGCAUGAAUGAACUAUUGUUGUAUGUUUAGUUAAAUAAGAUUGACAUCUUUCUGCUGGCACC
rnacentral:lncRNA from 1 species